rnacentral:rRNA from 1 species
CAGACCUGAGUGUGGCAGGACUACC